GUGGGGAAUCUUGCGCAAUGGGCGAAAGCCUGACGCAGCCAUGCCGCGUGAAUGAUGAAGGUCUUAGGAUUGUAAAAUUCUUUCACCGGGGACGAUAAUGACGGUACCCGGAGAAGAAGCCCCGGCUAACUUCGUGCCAGCAGCCGCGGUAAUACGAAGGGGGCUAGCGUUGCUCGGAAUUACUGGGCGUAAAGGGCGCGUAGGCGGACAGUUAAGUUGGGGGUGAAAGCCCGGGGCUCAACCUCGGAACUGCCUUCAAUACUGGCUGUCUUGAGUAUGAGAGAGGUGUGUGGAACUCCGGGUGUAGAGGUGAAAUUCGUAGAUAUUCGGAAGAACACCAGUGGCGAAGGCGACACACUGGCUCAUUACUGACGCUGAGGCGCGAAAGCGUGGGGAGCAAACAGGAUUAGAAACCCUUGUAGUCC
rnacentral:rRNA from 1 species